CACUGACGUCGCGACGCAUAUCAAUAAGCGGAGGAAAAGAGGGCUAUUACCUACGCUUAGGAUGUUGACGCAUGAGAUAUACGCAUGACAUCUGCGCAUAUCAAUAAGCGGAGGAAAAGAAACUAACAAGGAUUCCCCUAGUAACGGCGAGUGAAGCGGGAAGAGCUCAAAUUUGAAAUCUUAAAGGGUUUCCCUUUACGAAUUGUAGUUUAAAGAAGUGUUUUCUGUUGAGGUUUUGGUAAAAGUUCUUUGGAAUAGGACAUCAUAGAGGGUGAGAAUCCCGUAUUUGACCUUUACUUUCAACUUUGUGAUACACUUUCAAAGAGUCGGAUUGUUUGGGAAUGCAGUCCAAAAUGGGUGGUAAAUUUCAUCUAAAGCUAAAUAUUGGCGAGAGACCGAUAGCGAACAAGUACCGUGAGGGAAAGAUGAAAAGAACUUUGAAAAGAGAGUUAAACAGUACGUGAAAUUGUCAAAAGGGAAGCGUUUGACAUCAGUGUUGUUUUUCUGAAAAUCAAUUAAAGAACUGUUUAUGCUAAGCUGUUUAGACUUUAUCAGCUAUCUGUUUAAUUUUGAGCUUUUCUUUAAUGCACUUUUCAGUUAACAAGUCAACAUCAAUUUCUUUUGCUGUAAAAAAGCUUGAGGAAGGUGGCUUGAGAUUCGUCUUAAGUGUUUAUAGCCUCUUGCCUAUGCAGUCGGAGAGAUUGAGGUCUGCAGCGUAGAUCCUUCGGGGCUAAAUGCAUUUGUGCUAAGUUAUAGCAUUUUAUAGACAACUUGUUGACUAUGAUUUGUCUUGUAGCUUACUCGCUUAUGUUAUUUUACCUACGCUUAGGAUGUUGAUCUACAGAGCGAGAGU
rnacentral:rRNA from 1 species